UGGGGAAUAUUGCGCAAUGGGCGAAAGCCUGACGCAGCGACGCCGCGUGAGGGAUGAAGGUUUUCGGAUCGUAAACCUCUGUCAGAAGGGAAGAAACCGCACUGUGCUAAUCAGCAGUGCCUUGACGGUACCUUCAAAGGAAGCACCGGCUAACUCCGUGCCAGCAGCCGCGGUAAUACGGAGGGUGCAAGCGUUAAUCGGAAUUACUGGGCGUAAAGCGCACGUAGGCUGCUUUGUAAGUCAGGGGUGAAAUCCCACGGCUCAACCGUGGAGCUGCCUUGGAUACUGCUUAGCUUGAAUCCGGGAGAGGGUGGCGGAAUUCCAGGUGUAGGAGUGAAAUCCGUAGAUAUCUGGAGGAACAUCAGUGGCGAAGGCGGCCACCUGGAACGGUAUGGACGCUGAGGUGCGAAAGCGUGGGGAGCAAACAGG
rnacentral:rRNA from 1 species